GUCGUUAAAUGCAGCGUCGGCAACGAAAUGGCGACGCUUUGUGCAUGCGUCGGUUAAUUACUACCGACGCUCUCAUGCGUCGUCAAUUUAAUUUUGGCGACGCUUCAAUGUGUCCCCAAGUUUUAAAAUAUUAUAAAAAUUUUAAAAAUUUAGCGACCCUUUAUAGCGUCGGCACUUUUGCCAGCGCUUUCAAGCGUCGUCAUUUCUAAACCCAAACAGUAUCAUGAAUAUAUUUUUCAAACAUUUAAAUUAUUAUAAAAUAAUUUUUUAAAUUUUUAGAAAAUUUUGAUUAAUUUUUUUUUAUCAGACAUUUUACUAAAACUUGCAAGUCUUAUACUUUAUGAAUUGCACGACAACUUGUUAAAAUCGGAACGGCGAAAAAAUAGAUCCAGAAAAUAAUUUAAUGCAAGAAAAGAAAAGAUAAGCGGAAAGAACACACCGAUAUUUACGUGGUUCGGCCAACGGCCUACGUCCACGGGCGAAGACGGAGCAAAUACUUUAUUAAUGUCGAAAAAAAGCGGAGUACAAAGAAGAUCUCUUAAAGAACCAAAGCUUAAUUAAAUCCGAAACGCCGCAACAA
rnacentral:lncRNA from 1 species